rnacentral:rRNA from 1 species
AUUGAACGCUGGCGGCAUGCCUUACACAUGCAAGUCGAACGGCAGCACGGGAGCAAUCCUGGUGGCGAGUGGCGAACGGGUGAGUAAAGUAUCGGAACGUGCCCAGUCGUGGGGGAUAACGUAGCGAAAGUUACGCUAAUACCGCAUGCGAUCUAUGGAUGAAAGCGGGGGAUCGCAAGACCUCGCGCGAUUGGAGCGGCCGAUAUCAGAUUAGGUAGUUGGUGGGGUAAAGGCUCACCAAGCCGACGAUCUGUAGCUGGUCUGAGAGGACGACCAGCCACACUGGGACUGGGACACGGCCCAGACUCCUACGGGAGGCAGCAGUGGGGAAUUUUGGACAAUGGGCGAAAGCCUGAUCCAGCCAUGCCGCGUGCAGGAUGAAGGCCUUCGGGUUGUAAACUGCCUUUGUACGGAACGAAAAGGUUUGGCCUAAUAAGCUGAGCUCAUGACGGUACCGUAAGAAUAGGCACCGGCUAACUACGUGCCAGCCGCCGCCGUAA